rnacentral:rRNA from 1 species
UACGAAGGGGGGCUAGCGUUGCUCGGAAUGACUGGGCGUAAAGGGCGCGUAGGCGGCUUGCACAGUCGGGUGUGAAAUUCCUGGGCUUAACCUGGGGGCUGCAUUCGGUACGUGUGGGCUUGAGUGGGGAAGAGGGUCGUGGAAUUCCCAGUGUAGAGGUGAAAUUCGUAGAUAUUGGGAAGAACACCGGUGGCGAAGGCGGCGACCUGGUCCUUGACUGACGCUGAGGCGCGAAAAGCGUGGGGGAGCGAACAGG